rnacentral:rRNA from 1 species
GACGAACGCUGGCGGCGUGCUUAACACAUGCAAGUCGAACGAUGAACCCGGAGCUUGCUCCGGUGGAUUAGUGGCGAACGGGUGAGUAACACGUGACUAACCUGCCCUUGACUCUGGGAUAACUGCGGGAAACUGUAGCUAAUACCGGAUACGACUCCCGGCGGCAUCGCCAGGGGGUGGAAAGAAUUUCGGUCAAGGAUGGACUCGCGGCCUAACAGCUAGUUGGUGAGGUAACGGCUCACCAAGGCGACGACGGCUAGCCGGUUUGAGAAGGUGACCGGCCACACUGGGACUGAGACACGGCCCAGACUCCUACGGGAGGCAGCAGUGGGGAAUAUUGCCCAAUGGGAGCAAGCCUGAUGCAGCAACGCCGCGUGAGGGAUGACGGCCUUCGGGUUGUAAACCUCUUUUAGUAGGGAAGAAGCGAAAGUGACGGUACCUGCAGAAAAAGCACCGGCUAACUACGUGCCAGCCGCCGCGGUAA